rnacentral:rRNA from 1 species
UCCUACGGGGGGCAGCAGUGGGGAAUAUUGCACAAUGGGGGAAACCCUGAUGCAGCGACGCCGCGUGAGUGAAGAAGUAUUUCGGUAUGUAAAGCUCUAUCAGCAGGGAAGAUAAUGACGGUACCUGACUAAGAAGCUCCGGCUAAAUACGUGCCAGCAGCCGCGGUAAUACGUAUGGAGCAAGCGUUAUCCGGAUUUACUGGGUGUAAAGGGAGCGUAGACGGCUGUGCAAGUCUGGAGUGAAAGGCGGGGGCCCAACCCCCGGACUGCUCUGGAAACUGUAUGGCUGGAGGGCAGGAGAGGUA